CUCACUUGACAGUUGCCAUGGUUCUGAUCCUGGGCUUGCACUGAUAUCGUCUUGUACCGUUCUAGGUACAACACAUAUCAAUGUUUUUCAUACAAUAUGAAAUACAUAAAUCAUAUCAAUGUUUUUCAUAUAAUAUGAAAUACAUAAAUCACCUUUAUGCGUAUGCAUAAAGGAUUCUUAUUUACGCAUUAUUUCUUUGGGAGUCAAAGGGUACGUUCCCUUUGAGAAUGGCAACUUGCUAGUCACACUAGAGUCAUCCUUCUAAUUGAAGUUUAUCAUCAUAUGAGAAACUUCCUAGCAACUUUUGUCUAUUAUUAGGGAUUGAUAUAAUCAAAUUAUAUCUUGAAAUCUAUCAAUAUAGAUUUCCAUCCCAUGUAUUUAG
rnacentral:lncRNA from 1 species